rnacentral:rRNA from 1 species
AGAUUGAACGCUGGCGGCAUGCCUUACACAUGCAAGUCGAACGGCAGCACGGGAGCAAUCCUGGUGGCGAGUGGCGAACGGGUGAGUAACAUAUCGGAACGUACCCAGUAGUGGGGGAUAGCCCGGCGAAAGCCGGAUUAAUACCGCAUACGACCUAUGGGUGAAAGCGGGGGAUCGCAAGACCUCGCGCUAUUGGAGCGGCCGAUAUCAGAUUAGCUAGUUGGCGGGUAAGAGCCCACCAAGGCGACGAUCUGUAGCUGGUCUGAGAGGACGACCAGCCACACUGGGACUGAGACACGGCCCAGACUCCUACGGGAGGCAGCAGUGGGGAAUUUUGGACAAUGGGCGCAAGCCUGAUCCAGCCAUGCCGCGUGUGGGAAGAAGGCCUUGG